rnacentral:sRNA from 1 species
GUGGGCUAGUCGCACACUCCGGUUAUGGGCGGGCCGUUCGCACCCACCUGACAGCUGUUCGUUACGUGUUGUUAGUC